GAUGAACGCUGGCGGCGUGCCUAAUACAUGCAAGUAGAACGCUGAAGGAGGAGCUUGCUCUUCUGGAUGAGUUGCGAACGGGUGAGUAACGCGUAGGUAACCUGCCUGGUAGCGGGGGAUAACUAUUGGAAACGAUAGCUAAUACCGCAUGACAACAGUUAUUGCAUGAUAACUGUUUAAAAGGGGCAACUGCUCCACUACCAGAUGGACCUGCGUUGUAUUAGCUAGUUGGUGAGGUAACGGCUCACCAAGGCGACGAUACAUAGCCGACCUGAGAGGGUGAUCGGCCACACUGGGACUGAGACACGGCCCAGACUCCUACGGGAGGCAGCAGGAGGGAAUCUUCGGCAAUGGACGGAAGUCUGACCGAGCAACGCCGCGUGAGUGAAGAAGGUUUUCGGAUCGUAAAGCUCUGUUGUAAGAGAAGAACGAGUGUGAGAGUGGAAAGUUCACACUGUGACGGUACCUUACCAGAAAGGGACGGCUAACUACGUG
rnacentral:rRNA from 1 species